rnacentral:lncRNA from 1 species
CAAAACCCCAAAGAUCCCCAAUUUAAAGCCUAAGAGCUAGUGAACUUGGUAACAGCCUUGGUCCCUUCAGAAACAGCGUGCUUAGCCAAUUCACCAGGCAACACAAGCCUCACAGCAGUCUGAAUUUCCCUAGAAGUGAUAGUAGGCUUCUUGUUGAUCCUAGCCAAUCUAGAAGCUUCCUGAGCAAGCUUCUCAAAUAUAUCAUUAAUGAAACUGUUCAUUAUACCCAUUGAUUUGCUGGAGAUACCGAUAUCUGGAUGCACCUGCUUCAGCACCUUGAAGAUGUAGAUCUUGUAGGUUUCAAUGCUCUUCUUUGCCCUCUUCUUCUUCUUGUCGGCGCUGCAACUUUUACAGAAAGAUGAAUUGGAAUUUAAAUGAAGAGAAUGCGUGAGUGAUGAGAAAUGAUGAGGAGUGGAAUCGGUGAAAUGAUAGUUAUAUAGGGUUUGGAUUCUGUUGAUUGAUUGGUUACAUUAUUUUAACGCGGAUCGUGAAUGUGAGCCGUUGAUGAAGAGUAGAAUGGACGAUCAGUAAUGGCUGUACGAGUUGUUUACAAAGAGAAAAAAAUACUCCCUCCCUUCACUUUUACUUUCCUAUAAUACUCCAUUCAUCUAUUUUUAUUUGUUCAAUUUUUUAUUUACAAAGACACUAGAAAGUAUUUUGAAUAUAAUUUUAUCAUAUUUUUUUUGAAUAUAAUAAAUUUAAUCUUUUAAAAAAUUAAACAUAUAAUAAAUCAUAUUUAAUAUUAAAAUUAAAAAUAAAUAAAUUAGUUGUUACUUUUAUAAAUUGGAUAAGUAUUGUUGAACAAUUCAAAAUAAACAAAGAAAUACAUUUUAAUUUUAUUUGUUCACUUGAGAAAUUUUAUUUUUUUUUUCUAUUUUAUCCUUCAUUGAUUAUUUCAUAGGAGUAUCAUUUUUCAAGUUCAUCAAACCAUACACCACUUAUAGGAGUAUCAUCAUAAAAUAUACAUUUCAUUUAAUAUUUAUUAAGGAUGUGUGACAUCUAUUAUGAAUUAAUUAAAAAAACAUUAUUAAGAAAAAUGUUGUUUUUUCCAUCGAAUUCAUCUUUUUUUAAGUCAUCUAUAUCUCCAAUGUAGGAAUUAAGAGAACAAACGGAAAUGAAAGAGAGAAGAAUGAAGUGAUUUUCGAGUGGGGAUCACAAAAGAGAAUGAAGGAGAGAAAAAGUGAAGUGAUUCUCAAGUAAGGAGAGGGGUGUCCUUCUUCUCUAAAAGGAAAGUAGGAAAAAGCAAAUUCAUGAACUAGACAAAAUAAGUCUAUCAUCCUCAAAUAUAAGAUCGUGAUAAUAUUGAAGCGUCUCUCACUUUGUUUGAUCUUCUUGUCUUGACUUAGAAUUUUAAGUGAACAACAUGGCCAUGGCCUUGUGAAGAAAUUUAUUCCAAUCAUUUUAAUAGAGAUCUAAUACUUAGCAGACUCUAUACUGAGUUAUAAAGAAAUUGCACAAUUUAUUUAUAUGAAAAAAAAACUUUCUCAAAAAGCACAUAUGACUCUUUCAACUCACAACUUUUCAAGAAGUCAAACCUACUUCUUGUUACCAAAUCAGACAAACACAAGUUCCGAUGACUAUCACAAUUACCAAGCUAAAUAACUAGACUCUAACAAGAUCCAAACAAGCUCACGAAAACUCUUCCUGCAAAAACUCAUAAUUGCUCUAUGCUUCGAAUGUAUAACUUCUCCUAUUUCUUGAGAAUAAAGCCUUCUCAGUAUUAGUCAAUAGGUGGUGAAAAACGGUUUUGCUCGUCUUUGAAAGGUACAAAUAUAUCCUUAAACUUUGAUAAAUGUCAUACAUAUACCUUCCGUCAUACUUUAGGUAUAAAUAUACCCUUAUCGUUAAUAAAAAAGUACAUAUAUAUCCCUAAAUUUUGAUAAAUGGUACAAAUAUACCCUCCAACAUACUCUAAGUAUAAAUAUACCCUUGUAUUAAUGAAAAGGUACAUAUAUACCCUUCUUACUAAUGGCAAGACACGUGUCACAAUCCUAUUCAUUUGGCCUUUUUAAAUUUAAUUUACCACAACCCACCUCAAAAUAAUUCUAAUUUAACUCAUAACUCGAUCCAAAUAAUAACUCAAACCCGAUCCAAUCUAAUAGAAAGAGAAAAUGAAUAUGCAUGAAUAGAGAUGCGUCUUGGAGGUUCUAUUAGAUUGGGUCGGAUUUGGAUUGUUAUUUGAAUCAAUUUGUGGGUUAAAUUAUAAUUAUUUUCAGGUAGGGUGAGGAUAAAUUAAAUUUAAAAAGUCAAAUGAACUAGAUUGUGACAUGUGUCCUGCCGUUAGUGAGAAGUGUAUAUUUGUACCUUUUCAUUAGCGAAAAAAGUAUAUUUGUACCAAAAGUAUGACGGAGGAUAUAAUUGUACCAUUUAUCAAAGUUCAGGGAUAUAUGUAUACCUUUUACUUAAUGACAAGGAUAUAUACGCACCUUUCAUUAACGACAAGGGUAUAUUUUUACCUAAAGUCUGACAGAAGAUAUAUUUAUAUAUCAUUUAUCAAAGUUUAGGGGUAUAUUCGUACCUUCUCCCUUUUAUAGAUGCUUCAUGCUCUCCUCAGCUAAAUAUAAAUUCCUGACUUGAUGAAUUAUUUCCUUGUUAAGUAAGGACAUAAAAUGCCACCUCUCUUUCAAAAACCUUGCUAUGAAGGACAUGUAAGUUACCAUAAUUUAACUUAUGCUAAAAUUAGAUUUGCUGAUUCCCUUUCUUUUGCUGAGAAGGACAUGCAAGUUAUCAUAAUUAGAUGCGUGCUAAAAUUAGAUUUUGUCUUCAUCAAAACUUGGGCAUUAAAGAGUCUUCACCUUGUCCUUUCGCCACUAGAAAAAAUUAAGCACAAUUCAUUUGAACUAUGGUCUAUGAUAAUUUUUUUAUUGAUUUUAAAGAUAUAUUUAUAUAUCAUUUAUCAAAGUUUAGGGGUAUAUUCGUACCUUCUCCCUUUUAUAGAUGCUUCAUGCUCUCCUUAGCUAAAUAUAAAUUCCUGACUUGAUGAAUUAUUUCCUUGUUAAGUAAGGACAUAAAAUGCCACCUAAAUUUCCCUUGCUAUGAAGGACAUGUAAGUUACCAUAAUUUAACUUAUGCUAAAAUUAGAUUUGCUGAUUCCCUUUCUUUUGCUGAGAAGGACAUGCAAGUUAUCAUAAUUAGAUGCGUGCUAAAAUUAGAUUUUGUCUUCAUCAAAACUUGGGCAUUAAAGAGUCUUCACCUUGUCCUUUCGCCACUAGAAAAAAUUAAGCACAAUUCAUUUGAACUAUGGUCUAUGAUAAUUUUUUUAUUGAUUUUUGACGAUGGAUUUUUGUUGAAAAUAGGAUGAAUUGAUAUAUAAUUGCUAUACUAAAACUAGAUGCGAAUUCAACUUUCACGAAUCAAAAAACUCAGUGAUAUUUUUCAAAUUCAUUCAAAAAUAAUUUCCUAUAAAUUCUAUUUCGAUUUGACAUUAAAUAUAAUUCAACUUAUUAUUUUUCAAUUUAAACUUGCAUUAUUAUCCACUUAAAAUUCAUAAUUUAUUGCACCUAUGUGAUGAUGUCAUUCUUAUCAUUUUAAAACGUUUUAUUGAUUAACACGAGAACAAGUGUAACCGUAAGCAAGUUAUUAUAAAAAAUGAGAUCAUAAAUUAAUAAUACAAACAUUUUAAUAAACAUUAAGAGCAUGUAAAUAAUUCCACCAAAAUAACUCAAUUCCAACAAACCAAAUACAUAAAUACGUGAACAAUCCUUGCAUAAAGAAAUGUCCUUAUAAGAAAAUUAAAAAGGAUAAUUAACUACUUUCUAGAUUAAACUUAUCCUCUCUUGUAUCAAAUUCAACAUGCUUUUCUCAUGGACUCAUUUUUAAGGACUACACCAAAUUCGCUUGCCAGAAAAGGAUAAUCAUCCAAAUUCAACUUUUCAACUGUGCACUUUCGGCUAAUAUAUGAGUUUGAAUCUAAAAUUAAAACUUUUGUAAAUACAAAUAUGAAAACAAAACACCUUUGAGAGUUGGAGUAAUUAAUUUCUUGCAUCUCUUAUAAAAGAAGUUGCCUGACUAUAGUAAUUCGUUUUUGCAUAUACUAUUCAAUGGAUAAACUAAAACACCACAUUAAAGAAAAAUUAUUUCAUGGCAAAGUUUAGGCAAACAGAGAAAAUAGAAAAGAACCAAAAAAAGAGACUAAUUUGAAGAACAGAAAACAAUGUAUCAUUUUGAAAAGGUAGAAUAUUGUCUAUAUUCUUCUACAAAAAUUAUGAGUUAAAUGCUUCACUAAUACUCAAGGAAAAAAUAUAGAACAAUAUGAAAUCGUUGGUAUCCCUUUACAAGAAGUACCAUUUACCUUACCAUGAUUGUAGACAACAUUCAAGCGUAACGAGAAUCGGAUCCAGAUAUGACUAUACAUACCUUAAGCAGAACGGUGCAUUUGUUUAUGGUAAAUCACGAUUAUUAUGUGCAAUGCAUAGCGAAGACAAUACACCGCAAUCAUACUCUGUUUAAGAAUUUGUUUUCCGAAACAAUAUGAUAAAUAAAAUAAUAACCAACACAGAAUUUAGGUAGAUAAUAAGCAUUGAUUCAUUUGCAGUAAUCAUAUUAAGCCAAUUACAUAUCAAACUUCCAAAACUACCAGCCUUUACAUUGACCCAAAAGAUCCCCAAAUUCAUAAAACCUAAGAGCUAGUAAACUUGGUAACUGCCUUGGUUCCUUCAGAAACAGCGUGCUUAGCCAAUUCACCAGGCAACACAAGCCUCACAGCAGUCUGGAUUUCCCUUGAAGUGAUAGUAGGCUUCUUGUUGAUCCUAGCCAAUCUAGAUGAUUCCUGAGCAAGCUUCUCAAAUAUAUCAUUAAUGAAACUGUUCAUUAUACCCAUUGAUUUGCUGGAAAUGCCGAUAUCUGGAUGCACCUGCUUCAGCACCUUGAAGAUGUAGAUCUUGUAG